GCCUCUGUAGCUCAAUGGACAGAGCGCCCGCCUACGAAGCGGGAGGUUCCAGGUUCGACCCCUGGUGGAGGCA
rnacentral:tRNA from 1 species